rnacentral:rRNA from 1 species
AUUGAACGCUGGCGGCAGGCCUAACACAUGCAAGUCGAACGAGUGGCGGACGGGUGAGUAAUGUAUGGGAAUCUGCCCGAUGGAGGGGGAUAACUACUGGAAACGGUAGCUAAUACCGCAUACCCUCAGAUGUACCCAGAUGGGAUGAGCUUGUUGGUGGGGUAAAGGCUCACCAAGGCGACGAUCUCUAGCUGGUCUGAGAGGAUGACCAGCCACACUGGGACUGAGACACUGUCCAGACUCCUACGGGAGGCAGAAGUGGGGAAUAUUGCACAAUGGGGGCAAGCCUGAUGCAGCCAUGCCGCGUGUAGGAAGAAGGCCUUAGGGUUGUAAAGUACUUUCAGCGGGGAGGCGUUACCCGCAGAAGAAGCACCGGCUAACUCCGUGCCAGCCGCCGCGGUAAUAC